rnacentral:rRNA from 1 species
UUAAGCGACUAAGCGUACACGGUGGAUGCCCCUGGCAGUCAGAGGCGAUGAAGGACGUGCUAAUCUGCGAUAAGCGUCGGUAAGGUGAUAUGAACCGUUAUAACCGGCGAUUUCCGAAUGGGGAAACCCAGUGUGUUUCGACACACUAUCAUUAACUGAAUCCAUAGGUUAAUGAGGCGAACCGGGGGAACUGAAACAUCUAAGUACCCCGAGGAAAAGAAAUCACCGAGAUUCCCCCCAGUAGCGGCGAGCGAACGGGGAGCAGCCCAGAGCCUGAAUCAGUGUGUGUGUUAGUGGAAGCGUCUGGAAAGGCGCGCGAUACAGGGUGACAGCCCCGUACACAAAAAUGCACAUACUGUGAGCUCGAUGAGUAGGGCGGGACACGUGGUAUCCUGUCUGAAUAUGGGGGGACCAUCCUCCAAGGCUAAAAUACUCCUGACUGACCGAUAGUGAACCAGUACCGUGAGGGAAAGGCGAAAAGAACCCCGGCGAGGGGAGUGAAAAAGAACCUGAAACCGUGUACGUACAAGCAGUGGGAGCACGCUUCGGCGUGUGACUGCGUACCUUUUGUAUAAUGGGUCAGCGACUUAUAUUCUGUAGCAAGGUUAACCGAAUAGGGGAGCCGAAGGGAAACCGAGUCUUAACUGGGCGUUAAGUUGCAGGGUAUAGACCCGAAACCCGGUGAUCUAGCCAUGGGCAGGUUGAAGGUUGGGUAACACUAACUGGAGGACCGAACCGACUAAUGUUGAAAAAUUAGCGGAUGACUUGUGGCUGGGGGUGAAAGGCCAAUCAAACCGGGAGAUAGCUGGUUCUCCCCGAAAGCUAUUUAGGUAGCGCCUCGUGAAUUCAUCUCCGGGGGUAGAGCACUGGUUUCGGCAAGGGGGUCAUCCCGACUUACCAACCCGAUGCAAACUGCGAAUACCGGAGAAUGUUAUCACGGGAGACACACGGCGGGUGCUAACGUCCGUCGUGAAGAGGGAAACAACCCAGACCGCCAGCUAAGGUCCCAAAGUCAUGGUUAAGUGGGAAACGAUGUGGGAAGGCCCAGACAGCCAGGAUGUUGGCUUAGAAGCAGCCAUCAUUUAAAGAAAGCGUAAUAGCUCACUGUCGAGUCGGCCUGCGCGGAAGAUGUAACGGGGCUAAACCAUGCACCGAAGCUGCGGCAGCGACGCUUAUGCGUUGUUGGGUAGGGGAGCGUUCUGUAAGCCUGUGAAGGUGUACUGUGAGGUAUGCUGGAGGUAUCAGAAGUGCGAAUGCUGACAUAAGUAACGAUAAAGCGGGUGAAAAGCCCGCUCGCCGGAAGACCAAGGGUUCCUGUCCAACGUUAAUCGGGGCAGGGUGAGUCGACCCCUAAGGCGAGCCGAAAGGCGUAGUCCGAUGGGAAACAGGUUAAUAUUCCUGUACUUGGUGUUACUGCGAAGGGGGGACGGAGAAGGCUAUGUUGGCCGGGCGACGGUUGUCCCGGUUUAAGCGUGUAGGCUGGUUUUCCAGGCAAAUCCGGAAAUCAAGGCUGAGGCGUGAUGACGAGGCACUACGGUGCUGAAGCAACAAAUGCCCUGCUUCCAGGAAAAGCCUCUAAGCAUCAGGUAACAUCAAAUCGUACCCCAAACCGACACAGGUGGUCAGGUAGAGAAUACCAAGGCGCUUGAGAGAACUCGGGUGAAGGAACUAGGCAAAAUGGUGCCGUAACUUCGGGAGAAGGCACGCUGAUAUGUAGGUGAAGUCCCUCGCGGAUGGAGCUGAAAUCAGUCGAAGAUACCAGCUGGCUGCAACUGUUUAUUAAAAACACAGCACUGUGCAAACACGAAAGUGGACGUAUACGGUGUGACGCCUGCCCGGUGCCGGAAGGUUAAUUGAUGGGGUUAGCGGUAACGCGAAGCUCUUGAUCGAAGCCCCGGUAAACGGCGGCCGUAACUAUAACGGUCCUAAGGUAGCGAAAUUCCUUGUCGGGUAAGUUCCGACCUGCACGAAUGGCGUAAUGAUGGCCAGGCUGUCUCCACCCGAGACUCAGUGAAAUUGAACUCGCUGUGAAGAUGCAGUGUACCCGCGGCAAGACGGAAAGACCCCGUGAACCUUUACUAUAGCUUGACACUGAACAUUGAGCCUUGAUGUGUAGGAUAGGUGGGAGCUUUGAAGUGUGGACGCCAGUCUGCAUGGAGCCGACCUUGAAAUACCACCCUUUAAUGUUUGAUGUUCUAACGUUGGCCCCUGAUCGGGGUUGCGGACAGUGUCUGGUGGGUAGUUUGACUGGGGCGGUCUCCUCCUAAAGAGUAACGGAGGAGCACGAAGGUUGGCUAAUCCUGGUCGGACAUCAGGAGGUUAGUGCAAUGGCAUAAGCCAGCUUGACUGCGAGCGUGACGGGCGCGAGCAGGUGCGAAAGCAGGUCAUAGUGAUCCGGUGGUUCUGAAUGGAAGGGCCAUCGCUCAACGGAUAAAAGGUACUCCGGGGAUAACAGGCUGAUACCGCCCAAGAGUUCAUAUCGACGGCGGUGUUUGGCACCUCGAUGUCGGCUCAUCACAUCCUGGGGCUGAAGUAGGGUCCCAAGGGUAUGGCUGUUCGCCAUUUAAAGUGGUACGCGAGCUGGGUUUAGAACGUCGUGAGACAGUUCGGUCCUAUCUGCCGUGGGCGCUGGAGAACUGAGGGGGGCUGCUCCUAGUACGAGAGGACCGGAGUGGACGCAUCACUGGUGUUCGGGUUGUCAUGCCAAUGGCACUGCCCGGUAGCUAAAUGCGGAAGAGAUAAGUGCUGAAAGCAUCUAAGCACGAAACUUGCCCCGAGAUGAGUUCUCCCUGACUCCUUGAGAGUCCUGAAGGAACGUUGAAGACGACGACGUUGAUAGGCCGGGUGUGUAAGCGCAGCGAUGCGUUGAGCUAACCGGUACUAAUGAACCGUGAGGCUUAACCUU